GAUGAACGCUGGCGGCGUGCCUAAUACAUGCAAGUCGAGCGAACAGAUGAGGAGCUUGCUCCUCUGACGUUAGCGGCGGACGGGUGAGUAACACGUGGAUAACCUACCUAUAAGACUGGGAUAACUUCGGGAAACCGGAGCUAAUACCGGAUAAUAUAUUGAACCGCAUGGUUCAAUAGUGAAAGACGGUUUUGCUGUCACUUAUAGAUGGAUCCGCGCCGCAUUAGCUAGUUGGUAAGGUAACGGCUUACCAAGGCAACGAUGCGUAGCCGACCUGAGAGGGUGAUCCGCCACACUGGAACUGGGGCACGGUCCAGACUCCUACGGGAGGCAGCAGUAGGGAAUCUUCCGCAAUGGGCGAAAGCCUGACGGAGCAACGCCGCGUGAGUGAUGAAGGUCUUCGGAUCGUAAAACUCUGUUAUUAGGGAAGAACAAAUGUGUAAGUAACUAUGCACGUCUUGACGGUACCUAAUCAGAAAGCCACGGCUAACUACGUG
rnacentral:rRNA from 1 species